rnacentral:rRNA from 1 species
UAAGCGGAGGAAAAGAAACUAACAAGGAUUCCCCUAGUAACUGCGAGUGAAGCGGGAAAAGCUCAAAUUUAAAAUCUGGUGGUCUUUGGCCAUCCGAGUUGUAAUUUAGAGAAGCGUCUUCCGCGCUGGACCGUGCACAAGUCUCCUGGAAUGGAGCGUCACAGAGGGUGAGAAUCCCGUCUUUGGCAUGGACAUACCAGGGCUUUUGUGAUGCGCUCUCGAAGAGUCGAGUUGUUUGGGAAUGCAGCUCAAAAUGGGUGGUGAACUCCAUCUAAAGCUAAAUAUUGGCGAGAGACCGAUAGCGAACAAGUACCGUGAGGGAAAGAUGAAAAGCACUUUGGAAAGAGAGUGAAACAGUACGUGAAAUUGUUGAAAGGGAAACGCUUGAAGUCAGUCGCGUCGACCGAGACUCAGCCUCGCCUCGGCUUGGUGUACUUCUCGGCUGACGGGUCAGCAUCAAUUUCGCCUCUUGGAUAAUGGCGAGGGAAAUGUGACACCUCUACGGUGUGUUAUAGUCUCUCGUCGCAUGCAAGGGUCGGGAUUGAGGAACUCAGCACGCGCCUUUGGGCGUCGGGGCNUUGCCCACGAUACGUGCUUAGGANGUUGGCGUAAUG